UACCUGCAGCUCGAGUGGUAACCGCUAUUAUUGGGCCUAAAGCAUCCGUAGCUGGCUGGACAAGUCCCCUGUUGAAUCCACCGAUUUAAUCGUUGGUGUGCGGGGGAUACUGUUCGGCUAGGGGACGGGAGAGGCCGACGGUAUUUCCGGGGUAGGGGUGAAAUCCUAUAAUCCCGGGAAGACCACCAGUGGCGAAGGCUGUCGGCUAGAACGCGCCCGACGGUGAGGGGAUGAAAGCUGGGGGGAGCGAACCGGAUUAGAUACCCGGGUAGUCCCAGCUGUAAACGAUGCAGGCUAGGUGUUUGGGCGGCCACGUGCCGCUCUAGUGGCCGCAAGGAAGACUGUUAAGCCUGCCGCCUGGGGAGUACGGCCGCAAGGCUGAAACUUAAAGGAAUUGGCGGGGAGCACCACAAGGGGUGAAGCUUGCGGUUU
rnacentral:rRNA from 1 species